rnacentral:rRNA from 1 species
CGCCUCUUGCAUGUAUUAUAAGAGGUCUUGCCUGCCCAGUGACGCAAGUUCAACGGCCGCGGUAUUUUGACCGUGCAAAGGUAGCGUAAUCAAUCGUCUUUUAAAUGGAGACCUGUAUGAAUGGUAAAACGAAAACUCAACUGUCUCAUUCUUUCAGCCAAUGAAAUUGAUCUCUCCGUGCGGAAGCGGGGAUAUACACAUAAGACAAGAAGACCCUGUGGAGCUUUAGAUCUCUGCUUACAUCUUAGAUUGGGGCGAUCACGGAGAAAAUAUAUCCUCCACGAAGAAAAACAUAGUUAAGAGCUACAACUCUAAACAUUAAUACAUUUAAUUUUAUGAACCGGCUUGCCGAUUAACGAACCUAGUUACCCCAGGGAUAACAGCGCAAUCCCCUUAAAGAGCACUUAUCACUAAGGGGGUUUACGACCUCGAUGUUGGAUCAGGACAUCCUAAUGGCGCACCAACUAUUAAGGGUUCGUUUGUUCAACGAUUAAAGUCCU